rnacentral:rRNA from 1 species
UACGUAGGGGGCGAGCGUUGUCCGGAGUUACUGGGCGUAAAGGGUGCGUAGGCGGCCCUUUAAGUCAGAUGUGAAAGCCCGCGGCUUAACCGCGGAACUGCAUUUGAAACUGGAGGGCUUGAGUGUCGGAGAGGGUAGUGGAAUUCCAUGUGUAGCGGUGAAAUGCGUAGAGAUAUGGAGGAACACCAGUGGCGAAGGCGACUACCUGGACGACAACUGACGCUGAGGCGCGAAAGCGUGGGGAGCAAACAGG